rnacentral:lncRNA from 1 species
UGAAACGACCCGCCCCGAAACCCCCCAGGCGAGUCUAUCUAGUUACAUCAAAACAGACUUAAAAAUAAUAUUAUACGUAAAGAAUCUGCUGAAAAUUCGACAGAGUCUCCUUUAUAUAUAUAACACUCCCAAAGUACAAAUAUGAAUAUACAACAAACUCCAGUGCUCAACAUACUCAACCAAAAAUACUGAGUUAUAUAAUAUACAACCCCAAAAGAACAAGAUGACCAAGAUGUCCCAACAGAAACAUUUAUAUACUCUAGCACCAUCACGUGGCCAAGACUCAAAAUAUAUACAGUCGCUGGGUCGGUCUGGUGUACCUGCAACCUCCUGGUGAGGGGGGGAAAAUAUAAUAAAAACGGGGUGAGUUUAAAACUCAGUGAGAUUAGUGAGUGGAUAGUAGGUUUGAAAAUUGAUCUUUACUUUAAAAGAAAUAAGCAUAUCCAAACACGGUUUCAUUAAACCAUAAGUGAGAAAUCAGAAAUAAAUCAUUAAAUAUUUAAAUCAGAUUACCAACCAUAGAAAUCAUAUCACCAAAUCAUAUCGAUUUCACAAAUCUGAAAAUCAUAUCUCAUCAUAUCUCUGCAUGCAUAAUCUAGUCCCCAAAGGACAAAAGCGCCCAAGCACACGGCCCAAAGCCUCUGUGUGUACUCAGACGGGCCCCAAAGGCCUCCUUACAAUCAGAGCGCGCACCUCCCUUAUUACCCCUCAGUUUGGCGGGCCUCCCUUAUUACCCCUCAUCUAUAUCACUGUACUCAUAUUCACAUACCUCUUUACCACAUUUUAAAUCAUACCACAUUUGAAUCCACUUUUCUUAACUUUCAAAUAAUAUCACACUUUAUUCAAAAUCGAUACGCAAAAUUAUUAACCAAACAUUUUCAUAUAAUAUCAACAAGUGAAUAAAAUCCAUUUCGAGAAAUCAUUAAAUCAGCACAUUUAAAAAUACUUAUUCCGCAACCAUGCUUUACUAUCAUAAUUAACUCUAAAAAUAAGUUUCGUAUAUUCCACUCACAGUGACGGUGUUCAUAGUCGGUUAUCGUCUACGUCCGCGGACCGGUUCUCGCUCGCGGAUCCUCCUAAAUCAAGGAAACGACAUAAUUAUUCUCCGUAAAUCGGAAUUCCGACUAAAUAUAUGCAAUAACUCGAAACGAACAUUUAUCCAUAAUUAACAACUCCCGUGACGAUAAAAUUACUAAAAUGCCCUUGAGUCCGUAAAUCAUUAACAUGCUCCGAAAUCGUAAAUCACCGAAUUAUCCUCGAAAUCGUAAUUACACCCAAUUCACAAUUCUAUGAAUUACUGAAAUAUCCACAGGCUCAGAAAUGACAAAAUUGCCCUCAUAGUGUGAAAUUACCAAAAUGCCCUUGCCGGUCAACGGUCACCGGAAUUUGGUCAACGCUGGCCAGGAAGCUCAAAUCUUAAAGUGCCAAUCACGCUGAGUUCAAUGGUACCGGCGGUGAGCUCCAACGCGCGGCAACGACGCCGGAAUCUAGCUCGACAGCCGUGAGUUCCAACAAUCGACCGGCAGCAAAACGACGACUCUCGGUGCCUAUGAAUGGUCGGAAAUGGAAGAGGGAGUCAUGAGGAACAAAAUCCAACCGGUGGUGUCACUCAAAACCGGCGAAAAUCUCGGCGGAGUAAAGUGAAGCAGUCGCGGGUUUCAAGCUUCGAUCGCCGGCGUUCCGGUUCGUUUUCGGCAGUGAGGAUGGCAGGGGAACGACGGUCGGCUUCUAAGCUUCAGAUCGGUACCAAGCUCGGCCAAAACGGUGGUCGGAAACGUGAAAUCCGUCCGGGUUAAAGUCGCGGGUCGGGUCGGAUCCGGCGGGUCAAGAUCGGGUAAGUUGGCAGCUUCUCUCUCUCUGUUUUGCACGUGCAUGUGUUUUUCCUCUGUUUCCAACAUAUUCCUUUGCUUAUAAACUCUUUCACCGCCUCAUGCCAUUUUACAUUCACAGGUAUUAC